rnacentral:lncRNA from 1 species
AUGAAGUUACUGCUAAUGCUCAUCCUCCUACUGAUAUCAGAUUGUGAGUCAGAAAUGAAGAGAUUCACAUCAGAAUGGACUGAAUUCACCUGCAACUGUCAAAAAACACCUGGAAAAUGUCAAAUGGUCUGUGUAGCUGAUUGUGGCUCAAAAACUGGAAAAAAGACUCUCAGAGUAAUCCUCAAACAAGUUGAGAACAAGGACCCCAAAAGGAAUGAUGACAAAAAAGAACUGAAAUUUAAACUUGAGGAAAAUGGCUGUCCAAAGCAAUUCAAUCAAACUGCAUACAAAAAAGCUAAAACCACCAUCAGAUGCAAUCAUCCUGAAAAUAAAUCUGAGUUGUGGUUUUUCUGCAAAGAGAACUCUUCUGUCUGUAACAACAUUUUAUCAGACAGAAGAUCCUUUCUCACAAACACAUACAGUGUCUCCAUCAGUGACGUGUCCAUUGAGGACAAGGGUGUCUACUGGUGUGGAGUAAAGUUCACUGAGAACAAUCAUCAUGUCGCACUCACAAAAGUAAAAUUGAAAGUUGAAGAGAUUAAAAAUGUCAAAAGAAGCCCAGUUGUUGGACAGAACUUCACUUACUGGUGUAAAUACAACCAGACUGUCUCCUCAACAACAAAGUUCAUCUGUAAGGGAGAAGAUCCAUCCAUAUGUCAAGCUCUCGUAAACACCAGGCAGCCUGGUGUGAACAACAGGUUUUUCAUGACUGAUAACACAAAAGAGAAAAACAUCACGAUAACAGUGAGAGAAGUAACAGCAGCAGACAGCGGGACGUACUGGUGUGGAGCAGAAACAAAACAACAACAACGCAGCAACAAGUUCUUCAACAGACUGUUUCUGACAGUACAACCAGCACCACCUUCAUCCUCUACCCCUUUAACUACAACAACCACUACAACUGCUAAGAGUCAUGUCACCUUUGGGAUUACCACUGCUGUGAUCAUCGGCGUGGCUGUGUUUCUGAUCGGUUUCUUUCUUAUUUACAUACGUGAGAACAUGCAUUAUUGCACAUCAUGAAACACAACUACAUACAGGCCAUUUUUAGCCACAUAAACACACCCAUGUACUUCUCUAUUUGUACAAAUGGCAGGAUGGAUGAAAUUUAUAAAGUAAUGUCUGCUGCUAAAAUUUCAAGUUAAUAAUAGUUUGAAAAUUUCUAUUUAAAUCAUACUGAACAAAACCAAACUAUUAGAAAAUACUCAACAUGUGAUUGUGCUUGUUUCUUAAUUUUUCUUACUUGUUUCUGCCAGGAGUUUCAUGUAUAAAAAACAAAGGAAUUAGUGCAUCAUUGCAGCACGUCAAAGAGGUUAGUGUGAAAAUGUCUUUAAUAUAACUGGUGCACAGAGUCUGGCCCAGUGAUCAUGGAUAAUUGAACAGAGCUGCACACACGCAGAUGUCGACUU